rnacentral:rRNA from 1 species
GACGAACGCUGGCGGCGUGCUUAACACAUGCAAGUCGAACGGAAAGGCCUGCUUUCCCUUGUGGAUUGCGGGUACUCGAGUGGCGAACGGGUGAGUAACACGUGAGUGAUCUGCCCCCAACUUGGGUAUAAGCCUGGGAAACUGGGUCUAAUUCCCGAUAGGACUGCAGGGUGGUGCCUGUGGUGGAAAACGAUUUUCUAGUGGGUGGGGAUGAGCUCGCGGCCUAUCAGCUUGUUGGUGGGGUAAUGGCCUACCAAGGCGGCGACGGGUAGCCGGCCUGUGGUGGUCGACAGGCACAUUGGGACAGGCAUACGGCAGAGACACCUACGCGAGGCAGGAGGGAGGAAUCGUGAACAGUGGGCGGAAGCCUGAUGCAGCGACGCGGCGUGGAGGAUGACGGCCUUCGGGUUGUAAACAACUUUCGACAGAGAGGAAGCCACCUGGUUGGAAGGGUGGUGACGGUAGUGGUAGAAGAAGCACCGGCUAACUACGUG